GCAAAAGCCUUUUUCUCUCCCUUCAAGAAAGGAAGUCAUUGUGAAAACAAAAACAGACAAAUAAAUUCAACCAAAGCAUCUGCUCACUUUGUGUCUGUGCCUGUGAAUUUUAUAUCUACUCAUAAUGCCAGAGACUGAUGAACCUCAAAACUGUGUCUGUGGACGUCAAAAAAAAAAGCAGCAGCGUGCAUCUUGGGGAUGUUUUUCAUCUUAGGCGUGGCUCAGUUGACAGUUG